GGAGAAGAAGGAGAAGGAGAAGGAGAAGGAGAAAGGAGAAGGAGAAGGAGAAGGAGAAGGAAGAAGGAGACUCUAUCAAUAUGACCACUUACAGGAGAAAACAGAUCUCAGUAAAGGGAAACUAAAGAUAUUAAGAAGAUAUCACCAAGUUUUUAAGGGGUCAAGAACUGAACCUGCAGUACCUUUGAGCUGUGCCAGUGCCCAUUAACUCUGUGGCUUUAGAAACAGCAAAGACUACAGAGAACUGAGGGGACCUGGAAGAUUGGGCCUGGGGAUGGCUGCACUGUGAAGCCAUUGAGAAGUAAUUCUUUGUUGUUUUUUUAAAGAUUUUUACUGUGUUUUGUUUGCUUAUUUUUGUUUUAGAGAGUGAGAGAA